CGGCAACCUGGAGGCCAAGAUGGGGCUGCUGGCCACGGACCAGGCGCUGUUCCUGGACCCGCGGACGAGGCCUCUGGUGCAGGGCCUGGGAAGGGACAAGGUCAGGUUCUUCGAUGCCUUCGCUGCGGGCAUGGAGAAGAUGGGAUCCAUCAGGGUGAAGAAGGGGAAGACGGGGGAGAUCAGGAAGGUCUGUAGCAAGCACCUGGCAGCUUGAUGUGCAUGGUCUUUUGUGUAUUGGCCUUGCUCUAGUCACUUUUUCUACUUCCAAAGGUAUUCAUUUGUUGAUCUGUGCGCCUCACUAUUCUUUGCUUCCUUGUUGAACCGAUCUCCUCUCUCGAACAAAGAGAUGCUGCUGCGUCUGUUCAACUGAAGUCUCUGCUGCAUUUAUUGAUCGCUUUUUCUGCAACACACUUGACUCGAUUCGAGCUGCUAUUUAUCAUACCAUUGAAAUUGUACUUUUUUCAUUAAAACAACUUAAGAAAGACAAGUUAUUGGCAAAAGAACAAGAACCUUAUGAUAUAGGCCAUGGAGUAAGAAAUCUGAGUGAAACAUGGAUAAGUUGCAGAUGUCCUUUGCCUUGAUUACUACCCUGCUGUCGAUGUGCUUCUUUGAGCAUGAGUGGCUGAACAUAUUCGAGGAACAGGAUCUAUGGACAUCAGAUAUAUCUAUGGCUGACUUCUCCUCUGCACCCUUUCUCCAUUACGCACCGGACUGGGCACUCUGUGCUGAAAUAUAUCCACCUCCAUUACCAUCUCACAAAGCAAAGUAGGCUGGCUUUCGUGGCUAUCAUCAUUUGAUAUCUGAAGAUUGCUCACUCAAUCACAUCGUAUAAGCUUUGGGUCAGUUUAGCAGAUUACAUGACAGCAUGAGAUUCCAAGCAGCAGUUUCGGUUACAUUUAUCUUCAUCUAUACCAUAAAAGAACUCAUGCUGCU
rnacentral:lncRNA from 1 species